rnacentral:rRNA from 1 species
UACGAAGGGGGCUAGCGUUGUUCGGAUUUACUGGGCGUAAAGCGCACGUAGGCGGAUUGUUAAGUCAGGGGUGAAAUCCCGGAGCUCAACUCCGGAACUGCCUUUGGUACUGGCAAUCUUGAGGCUGGAAGAGGUUAGUGGAAUUCCCAGUGUAGAGGUGAAAUUCGUAGAUAUUCGCAAGAACACCAGUGGCGAAGGCGGCUCACUGGCCCGGUACUGACGCUGAGGUGCGAAAGCGUGGGGAGCAAACAGG